rnacentral:rRNA from 1 species
AUUGAACGCUGGCGGCAUGCUUUACACAUGCAAGUCGAACGGCAGCGCGGGCUUCGGCCUGGCGGCGAGUGGCGGACGGGUGAGUAAUGCAUCGGAACGUGUCCUGUAGAGGGGGAUAGCCCGGCGAAAGCCGGAUUAAUACCGCAUACGAUCUACGGAUGAAAGCGGGGGACCUUAGGGCCUCGCGCUAUAGGGGCGGCCGAUGUCGGAUUAGCUAGUUGGUGAGGUAAAGGCUCACCAAGGCGACGAUCCGUAGCUGGUCUGAGAGGACGACCAGCCACACUGGGACUGAGACACGGCCCAGACUCCUACGGGAGGCAGCAGUGGGGAAUUUUGGACAAUGGGGCAACCCUGAUCCAGCAAUGCCGCGUGUGUGAAGAAGGCCUUCGGUUGUAAGCACUUUGUCGGAAGAAAACGUAGGUAAUAUCUUAUGGAUGACGGUACCGGAAGAAUAAGCACCGGCUAACUACGUGCCAGCAGCCGCGGUAAUACGUAGGGCGCAAGCGUUAAUCGGAAUUAUUGGGCGUAAAGGGUGCGUAGGCGGUUUGUUAAGACGGAUGUGAAAUCCCUGGGCUCAACCUGGGAACUGCAUACGUGACUGGCAGACUAGAGUAUGGCAGAGGGAGGUGGAAUUCCACGUGUAGCAGUGAAAUGCGUAGAUAUGUGGAGGAACACCGAUGGCGAAGGCAGCCUCCUGGGCCAAUACUGACGCUGAGGCACGAAAGCGUGGGGGAGC